AGAAUUGUAUCUUGAUUUAAGAGAGUUUCAGGCCAGAAAAUAAUCAUUGUAGUGACCAAAGUCACAGUGGCUCUGAAUGUGGGGACCUUGGCAAAAUCACCAGCCUCUGACAUGGACGGAGGGAUAAGAAGGUCACAUCACCCAUCCUAGAGGGAGAAAUUACCUGAUGGAAACGGGGAGCAGAGAAGAGUCCAGCCGAACCGUGGCCCGACAGGGAGCUGGGCUGGAAUUGAGCCGAAGGUCUCUCCUCCAGCUCCAAUUUCAGGACCCAAUGAAGGUCCAAUGAGGUAAUACACGAUGAGAGUUAUUAAAAGGUAUGAUGUUCAAUAUGGAUCGAUAUGAUGCAAAAUGUAAAUAUCAUUACAAAGGUAAUAUGUAGGCAGUUAGUAAGCUGAUUCAUAAUAUUG
rnacentral:lncRNA from 1 species